UGGAAACAGCGGUUAGGAGCUUACACCCACCCGUGUUUACAUACUAUUGUUGCUUUGGCGGGCCGUGGCCUCCACUGCGGGCUCUGCUCGUGUGUGCCCGCCAGAGGACCAAACUCUGAAUGUUAGUGAUGUCUGAGUACUAUCUAAUAGUUAAAACUUUCAACAACGGAUCUCUUGGUUCUGGCAUCGAUGAAGAACGCAGCGAAAUGCGAUAAGUAAUGUGAAUUGCAGAAUUCAGUGAAUCAUCGAAUCUUUGAACGCACAUUGCGCCCUGUGGUAUUCCGCAGGGCAUGCCUGUUCGAGCGUCAUUUAACCACUCACGCCUAGCGUGGUAUUGGGGCACGCGGUCUCCGCGGCCCUCAAAAUUAGUGGCGGUGCCGGUGGGCUCUAAGCGUAGUACAUACUCCCGCUAUAGAGUUCCCCCCGGUGGCUCGCCAGAACCCCCAAUUUUUACAGGUUGACCUCGGAUCAGGUAGGGAUACCCGCUGAACUUAA
rnacentral:rRNA from 1 species